rnacentral:rRNA from 1 species
GAGUUUGAUCCUGGCUCAGAAUCAACGCUGGCGGCGUGCCUAACACAUGCAAGUCGAGCGAGAAAAGUUCCUUCGGGAACUGAGUAAAGUGGCGAACGGGUGAGUAACGCGUGGGUGAUCUGCCCUUUGGUGGGGGAUAACUCGGGGAAACCCGGGCUAAUACCGCAUAAGCCUGUCUAUUCGUUUAGACAGGGAAAAGUUCUUUGCCGAAGGAGGAGCCCGCGUCCGAUUAGCUAGUUGGCGAGGUAAGAGCUCACCAAGGCAACGAUCGGUAGCCGGUCUGAGAGGACGGACGGUCACACUGGGACUGAGACACGGCCCAGACUCCUACGGGAGGCAGCAGUGGGGAAUUUUGGGCAAUGGGGGCAACCCUGACCCAGCAACGCCGCGUGGAGGACGAAGGUUUUCGGAUCGUAAACUCCUGUCUGGAGGGACGAAGAAGUGACGGUACCUCUGGAGGAAGCCCCGGCUAACUCCGUGCCAGCAGCCGCGGUAAUACGGGGGGGGCAAGCGUUGUUCGGAAUUACUGGGCGUAAAGGG